AGGAUAACUUAUAUACCCUAACAUCACUUUGUCGGGCAAAGAAUCAACAUCAAAACAAAAAAAACAGACAUAGACUCUUCUGUUUCACCACUCAUCCCUCCCUGUCUGCGUCCCCCACCCUGUCUGCGUCACACCAAACGACGAGCAUCACUAACACCAGGAAUCGUCCCCUUCAGUUGGUCAACUUUUACAUUUACUGCUACCCCAGUAAUCACUCCUUUCAAUGGCGCCCUUUUCUUGAGAGCAAAAUAACUCACAUUUCUUGCCCCCAUUUGUUUAACGCAGAGUGCUCUCCCUCUGACCAGCAGAAACAAACAAUUAUUACAAGACCACUUCUGGUUACCCUCACCAAUUCCACAGCACCCAACUCGGUUUUCACCCACCCUGUAACUACAAAUGGAUCAGCCAAAAAUCAUGGGUCCACUUUUUCAAAAAACUUCACUCCUACUGUCACAGACUCAUCUUUUUUCCUGACCAUUGGUGCAAGCCUCCACCUGAGAUCUUCACCACACCUACCACAUCCAAUACUUCGACCUCAUUCACUUCCAUUUCUCCUCCUGUCUUGGGCUCACUCUGCUUACACUUUCUACCAUUCUUUAACAAACCAUCUCCCUUCUCGUCCAUUUUUAACUCUCUCUCUCAUAUUCUAAGUCAGCCCAACCUCACAUUCAAUCCGCGCAUAUAUGUACAAAAUGUAUUUCACCAGAUUUCGUGCGUUUUUGUGUGGUUCAAAUCGUUCGAAAAUACACGAAUUUAUGUGCUACUUAAUUCGUGCGAAAAGACACGAAUUUAACCAGUAGGCGACACACAAGCAUUUGCAACAACCAUAGACGCGAUAGCCUGUAUUUCAUUAUUUAUUUAUUUAUUUAAAGUUAUGAAUAUAUAGAUAUGUUGUCUUUUUUUAAUCCCUAUUAAAACAUUGUAGUUGUAUGCCUAUAUGUACUGUUUUCGAUUUUUCAGAACAGACUUUUCAGUAUAGAAUUAAUGUAAGCAAUGCAUGAUGGCGAAUUGUUUUAUUCGGUUGUAGUUCCAUGUAUUUCUUACAAAAAACAAACGUGUACACCAUUUUUAUUGACCAGAAUGUAACUGAAAAUACAAUAGCAGCCUUGCCAUUGUCCAUCAAUACCAACAACAACAAAAAAUCGUACAUUUUGGGAAACGUAUGCAGUCAUUGUAGUCUUACAUUUUGUUGGCCAACCAAAAUUACCAAAACGUUAACCCAGGCUAGGGUGGAAUUGUACAAUGAGCUGGCUGAGUGUAAAUACAUGGCUCUGAGUGUAAGCAUGUACAAAAAUGUAAAUGUAAGCACCUUUUCACUAGAAACUUUAUUGUGUUCAAAUUACCGUCAGUGCGAAAUAGCUAGAAAGCUUUCGUAUGUCCACUUGGCUGCACCUACGGUUUUAAGAACGAUAAAUCAAGUGCAAUACCUGCGUCGACCUGUGACGAGCAGCAAAACACCGGGAAGUUACAAGAAGAACAAGAAUGGUUACCUCAUCCGGUCAUGUGACAUUUGUUGUUAAUAGUUUUUUCGCCCACAGCAGACGUCUAGACCCUGGACAGAUAACAGAAGGAGAGAGGGACCCCAGGAGGGACCUAAAGGAGUUGAUGAAAUCCUGUUAAGACAGACAAUCAGGUGAGAGGAGGUCCUAACUAGUCAAUGAUCUAAAUUGAUCAAAACCUGUAGACACUGUAGCCUUUAAGGACUGGAGUUGCACACAUGUCAUAGAACAACAUGAACAAGGAAGUGACAGAUUGAUAGUGCAUUGUUGGUAAAUAGAGACAGAUUGACUGAUCUGCAAGUAAUAAUAGAUAUGUAUUUGUUAUUCAAAGUGAUUUGUAGAUCAGUCAGUCUGCGUGUGGAGGAGAAUGAAGACCUUUUGACUUGCAGGACAUAGUAAAACACACACGCUAUCAAUGACAUGCAGCUUUUCUCAUAGACGGGAGGUUACUAUGUGAAGGAAUGUGUUAGGAUUGGAAGUUGUCUAUGUUUCUUCUGAGAUGAUAUGGCCUCUGAGGACCCCCAAGACCAACUGGAUGAGGCUAUUAAAAAGGAAGAACGCCUUGCUGAGGAGCUCAACCAAGAGAAUGACCCACAAGCCCAACUGGACGAGGCCAUUAACGAGGCAAAAAGGCUGGCUGAGGAACUCAACCCAGAACGGGAAAAUAAGAAGAAAAAGACAAACAAGCCUCCAGGGAUUAGGUUCAGAUGGAGACAAAGGGAUGAGAGAGGACAGAUUGUUCCUCAAACCAGGAAGGCAACUACAUCCACUUCCCUUGCUCCAAGGGCCAGUACAUCAAGAGCCAGACUAGUGCAACAUUUUGGGCCAGUCACUGAGGAGGAAGAAUCAGAGACAAGGACCAGUGGAUUGGAUUCCACUCCAGUUUUAAACAUUGAUGAAGAAAUAGCAAUACUUCAUCGAAAAAUUAACAUCCUCCUAGCUGAUUUAGAAGACCCUGAGUGUUCAAAUCCUGCUGUGCCUGGUGCAUCACACAGUUGAAGUGUGAGGAAGGAACUCUCACAGGAUAGGUGGAGGGAGUCCAGGCCUGAGAUUGUAGAUUCUCUACUGGCUGCAGAGCAUGCUUCUCAGAAGAUCUGUCAGUCAUGCAAUGUGAAAAGGGCUAUUCUGCGAUGUAGAGACUGUCUGCCGAAACAGCUUUACUGCGAAGACUGCGAUGUCUUUACACAUGCAAAGUUCCCCCUGCACAACAGACAGUCCAUGAUGGAGGGAUUCUACACACCCCUUCCUCCAACUACAGCCAUAUCACUCCACACUGAUGGCAAAUAUGCACUUCAUGAACAGGAGGGGAUAUGUGGUUGCCUGACUAGCACCAUCCAUGUUGGCCCUGGGAAACAUAUCAUCCUCAUAGGAAUAAAUGGUCGCUACAAUGUUACAGUGACUGUGCUGACUUGCACAACCUGUCUUAGCACCUGAACAGCAAACUUGGCAGAUCUGAUAAAGAAUGGGUACUGGCCUGCCACUGUCAACUGUGACACCAUAUACCAGGUAGAUCUGUUCAGCUCUUUUGAGAAGCUGAAAGUGUCAGCCCCAGGAAUGUCCCGUCUGGCGUUUAUGCGGAUUUUGGAGCAGCGAACUGACUUCUUUGGCAGGAACGGAAUGAUCUGUGGGGACACUUUUCAAAAAAGCUUCUUUGAGUGGACGUACUGCCGCUCUGAAAUUGAUCAGGUCUGUGAUAUACAGUACUUUGACUGCCCAGCCUGUUCACCCAGCAUGCUAGCAGUGUCAGUGGACGGGAACAAGAAGCUGUAUCGAUUCAAAAAACGGGUUAUGGAAAAGAGGUAUGUGGAGCAUCCCAGUGGACAGCAGCUAAAGAGUCGUCAAGAAAAACAAACAACAAACUUGAUGAAGAGGGACUCGAAGUUGCUGUCUGCCGCCACGGAAUACUUCUAAGGAGCCUCAACAUGAUGCGUGGAGAGAUAUUUGCGUACCCACUGUUCUUGCAGAAGGAAUUGUCUGGCAGCAGGAACAUACAAUUCAUGUGUACAGAUGUGAUCUGCAAAUUUUGGCCAUACCUGACCAAAGUUGCCCUUCAUUGUCCACAGCUCGCCACUCUUCUAGACAUGAAGCCACUUCUUUCCGUCAUGCAUGCAAAGGCACAUCGUUUGAAAUGCUAGAUUAAGUGGGGAGGACGGAAUCAGGAAGGAGCUGGCACAACUCUGGGGGAGGAAGUGGAACAAGGGAACAGCUUCUUGUCGAGGGCUGCAAUCUGUUCCAAGCAAAUGUCCAAAGGAGCAAGAACAGACAUGCUAACCAUCCAGGUCAUGGGGUGGAACAGAAGGAAGAAGAACAACCUGCACAGAGUAUUGUCCAGAAGAUACUUGAAGACAACAGCAAAAAUCCAGGAGGAGACCCAGACUCUCAAAACGUUUAAGAGUGAUUUGGGUGUAGGCGAUGAGACUCUGUACGACUGGACAACGGAAGUUCAGCAAUGGGCUAAUACAGAGGAAACAAAUGAGAACAUGGAUGGUCCCCAGGUACUACAGAGAACAAUUGAAGUCCUGUUUCUUAGCAUCAAACAAAGGAAACAGAACCUCUACCGUCAGACAGAUGGAUGCAAGAAAAGACACCCUCUGCGCAGAAAGAUAUUGGAAGAAAAGGCCAAAUUGACAGCUGCCAUAGAGGAGUACAACACCCUAUGAUUCACAGAUUCAGCAAUACCAUCUGCAGAUGAGAUCCUUUCCGCAGACCUUCAUGCAUGGCCUUGGGAGCUGCAUGGACAAACUGACCUACUCACAAAGAAAAUAGCCUUUGACCGGGUGAUGCUCCUGAGACGGCUGAAGGAGGAAGAGUUAAUUGUCCUAAAGGAAGUCAAGCAGCACUGGGAAAGCCUAAAGAGGGAAUCGGAGAAUGUGCAAGGCCUUGCUUCACAUGUGGCACUUGACCUAAGCGGGCUGGCAAUUGAAUUAGUCGGAAGCUGGGAGCAGAGGUCUCUUCUCCAUGCUUCAGAGGAGAGUCAGCAGCCUCAGAAGACACCAGGACUCUGUCAAACUGAUAUACAGCAAGCUAUGGACCAAGACACCUCCCUCCUAGAAAAUAACUUCAUAGAGGACCUCCUGGAAGAGGACCUAGAUGACAUCUAUGACAGCAUCCACUACAGCUCUGAUGGCGAGGAAUCUAUCACAGACUGACAGUGUUCAUUUGGGUGGGUGCAGUAGUGGUUGAAAAGUGAUUCCAUUUUUUUUGCAUGUGCGCUUUAUCUGCCUUCCUAAGGAUAAAUAGUUUGAACAUUUUAUGGAAAAUAAACGUUUGUUUCUUCCUUGUUGACAAUGUGAUCAUGUGGCACAGAUUUGAGAAGGGCGCUCGUCUAUUACUGCUUUUGCCCGGUUACAUGACCAGGUCCGAUGCAUCCCUUUAAAUGGCCAAUCUGCAGUUGCUACAUCCACUUUUGGAAGAAUAGAAUUUAUAAAUGCCUCAUGAACAUAGUUCAACUGCCGUACCCCAUCAGAUCCCAAAAUAUAUCUUUUUUUCUACUCCAAUGUUUGUAAACAAAGUAAAUGUAAACAUACACUAGCAUGUGUCAAACUCAUUCCACGGGUGAGCCGAGUGUCUGCGGGUUUUUGCUCCUCAAAUUAUUGAUGAAUUAAGGUCACUAAUUAGUAAAUAACUCCCCUCGCCUGGUUGUCUAGGUCUUACUUGAAAGGAAAAAACAAAAACCAGCAGACACUAGGCUCUCCAUGGAAGGAGAUUGACACCACGGGACUAUAGCCUGGAAACAUGGUUUAAACUAUGGUUACAUUUCUCCAGCCCCAUCCCUCUGCUUUUUACAGAACCAUUGGCGGGGAGAACGAUUUAUUGUUUCACCUGGUGAUUUCCGAUUUAAACAUUGUUAAACUGUAAUGUACUGUGCUUGUGUGUGCUUAUUAGUUUAGUUAAUAAAAAACUAAAAAAGGU